AUACUUACCUGGCAGGGGAGAUACCAUGAUCACGAAGGUGGUUUUCCCAGGGCGAGGCUUAUCCAUUGCACUCCGGAUGUACUGACCCCUGCGAUUUCCCCAAAUGUGGGAAACUCGACUGCAUAAUUUGUGGUAGUGGGGGACUGCGUUCGCGCUUUCCCCUG
ensembl:snRNA U1 U1 spliceosomal RNA